UUUAAGAAUGCUCCAGUUAUUUAUUGGGAUCAACAUGUUUUUAAUGGCUAGACAACAUUCAUUAGCAUGAUUAGGAUGAAACAAAUAACUAUAGCUAUAGUCUGGGUGUUGAUUUUUAUUUGUAAACGUGUGGUUUUGCAAUGUUGCAUGUCCACCAAAUGUCCAGACAUUGUGCAAGAAAAUAUUUGAAGAAUAUACGAUGCUACUGGACAUUUCUGAAUGGCGUUGGCCUCGUCAGUGAACACAUUUUUCAAACUACAUACCCCAAAUUGAUGUCAUGAUUGCGGCCAAGUGUGGAUAAAUUUGGCCUAGUGCUUUCAGAGGAGAAGAUUUUUGUAAAAUUUUACAGACUACGACGGAUUAUAAACCACGACAGACGCCAAGUGAUGAGCCAUUUGGGCAAUGUAAGCUAAAAAUGGCUACAGAAGGGGUCAUAAACCUUACUGAUUUAAUGAAAAUGAUGAAUGCCUUCUGUGUGUUGUAUAAAAUUCAUUGGAUAUAAAAAGACAAAUUGAACCAGACAUAAGUGAUGAACAUUAAAUAGAGAAUCUUAGCAGACAACAUAAAACCACUUCAUAUAUUUCUGACAAAUCUAUUGGAAGAAAACUAAACAAUUUUGAAGAUAAAAAACACUUGUCAUCCAAAACAUGGCAGUAUCUGAAAGACCGACAUUCAUUAGCUGCCACAUUGCAGUGUUAGUUGUUUGCGAUUGAUGCCUUUCCAAUAAAUAGAGAUCCUUGGAUAUUUAAAGAUGAGUUGAAACUUAUACCUGUAAUGGACAAUAAAUAGAGAAUCUCAGCAAACAGCAUAAUACCACAUCUUAUGUUUUGACAAAAUAUUUGGAUGGAAACAAUAAUAAUUGGUGGAUGAAAAAGUAAUUUUCAUCCAAAGUAUGGCAGUUACUGAAAGAUAUAAUUUAAUCAUAAUGGAAAAUGACAAAGUGAAAUGUUUGACUUGCAUUUUAACCUUCUUCACGUACUGCAACAUUUGUGUUAGUUGUUCGUGAUGACUGUCUUUCCAGCAAAUGUUAAAACACAUUAUUUAAUAAACUAUCUAUAAUAA